rnacentral:rRNA from 1 species
UACGGGGGGGGCAAGCGUUGUUCGGAAUUACUGGGCGUAAAGGGCUCGUAGGCGGCCAACUAAGUCAGACGUGAAAUCCUUCGGCUUAACCGGGGAACUGCGUCUGAUACUGGAUGGCUUGAGGUUGGGAGAGGGAUGCGGAAUUCCAGGUGUAGCGGUGAAAUGCGUAGAUAUCUGGAGGAACACCGGUGGCGAAGGCGGCAUCCUGGACCAAUUCUGACGCUGAGGAGCGAAAGCCAGGGGAGCAAACGGG